rnacentral:pre_miRNA from 1 species
UUGCAACGAUGGUGGUGAUGAUGAUGAGGAUGAUGAUGAUGAUGAUUACCAUUAUUGUCAUCAUCAUCAUUGUCAUCAUCAUCAGUAUCAUCUUCU